rnacentral:lncRNA from 1 species
GCAGUUUGUAGAGGCUCUGUGGCCCUCGAUGUGCCUGUGCCUACUCUCUCCCUGCCAAGCCUCACAACAGUAUAACCCGGGACCAGGCAGCCUGAAGAUGGUUACUCCCAUUUUACAGAUGAGGAAUCUGAGGUCAGGGAGCACUGUACCACAGGGGCAGCAAGUCAUGGACUUGAGACCUUGGUGAAGGUCUUCGGACCACCUUUUUACACAACACCUUUCUGCACAACAGAGAGAGAAGAAAGGGGAAGGAUGCUGGAAUAGAAGGUACCGGAAUAGGCUCUGUCUUGAGUAAACACAUUUUUUGCUCCAGGCAUCACCAUGAGAAAGACUAAAGGCCUGGAGCAUUUGUGAUGAUACUAGUUAAUUGCCAUUUCUGUUCAAGGGUGCCUGUGCUCAAAAAAUGUCCUCUCAUUAUAACCUGGUGCAGCGUUGAAGGCCCGGCUAAGGGGAAAAACAGAUAAACAAAGCCUGUUAAGUGGAAGGCAGAUUAAGUUGUGUCGAGGAGGGGACCGUCAGAGGCUGUGCUGUUCUUUUUGCUGAAAGUUGAGUGUAUCAACACAUCCAUUAUUCAUGAAAUCUGACACUGAGUUUGAAGCUGUUCUCUUGGAAAGAAUCUCUAAAUUUUAGAUUUUUUAUUGUAUUUUAUUUUUGCUUCUUCUUGGAUCUCAGGGAAAGUAAGCCCGAGGUGCUGGAUGCUUGCCUUUGAAGCAGUCCAUGAAGGUGAAUGAGCAUCAGAAUGAC